UAGGGAAUCUUCGGCAAUGGGGGGAACCCUGACCGAGCAACGCCGUGUGAGUGAAGAAGGCUUUCGGAUCGUAAAGCUCUGUUGUUAAGGAAGAAUGAGUGUGAGAAUGGAAAGUUCAUGCUGUGACGGUACUUAACCAGAAAGGGACGGCUAACUACGUGCCAGCAGCCGCGGUAAUACGUAGGUCCCGAGCGUUGUCCGGAUUUAUUGGGCGUAAAGCGAGCGCAGGCGGUUAGAAAAGUCUGAAGUGAAAGGCAGUGGCUCAACCAUUGUAGGCUUUGGAAACUGUUUAACUUGAGUGCAGAAGGGGGGAGUGGAAUUCCAUGUGUAGCGGUGAAAUGCGUAGAGAUAUGAAGGAACACCGGUGGCGAAAGCGGCUCUCUGGUCUGUAACUGACGCUUAGGCUAGAAAGCGUGGGGAGCGAACAGG
rnacentral:rRNA from 1 species